UUCGCCCUUAGAGUUUGAUCCUGGCUCAGGAUGAACGCUGGCGGCGUGCCUAAUACAUGCAAGUCGAACGAAUCUCUUUUAGAGAUGAGUGGCGAACGGGUGAGUAAUACAUAGGUAACCUGCCCCUGUGCGGGGGAUAACAGGAGGAAACUCCUGCUAAUACCGCAUAGCCAUGAGCACCGCAUGGAGCUCAUGCCAAAUAUCCUUUCGGGGAUAGCGCAGGGAUGGACCUAUGGCGCAUUAGCUGGUUGGCGGGGCAACGGCCCACCAAGGCAACGAUGCGUAGCCGGCCUGAGAGGGCGGACGGCCACAUUGGGACUGAGACACGGCCCAGACUCCUACGGGAGGCAGCAGUAGGGAAUUUUCGGCAAUGGGGGAAACCCUGACCGAGCAACGCCGCGUGAGCGAAGAAGGCCUUCGGGUCGUAAAGCUCUGUUGUAAAGGAAGAACGGCGCAUACAGGAAAUGGUAUGCGAGUGACGGUACUUUACCAGAAAGCCACGGCUAACUACGUGCCAGCAGCCGCGGUAAUACGUAGGUGGCGAGCGUUAUCCGGAAUCAUUGGGCGUAAAGAGGGAGCAGGCGGCCGCAAGGGUCUGUGGUGAAAGACCGAAGCUAAACUUCGGUAAGCCAUGGAAACCGGGCGGCUAGAGUGCGGAAGAGGAUCGUGGAAUUCCAUGUGUAGCGGUGAAAUGCGUAGAUAUAUGGAGGAACACCAGUGGCGAAGGCGACGGUCUGGGCCGCAACUGACGCUCAUUCCCGAAAGCGUGGGGAGCAAAUAGGAUUAGAUACCCUAGUAGUCCACGCCGUAAACGAUGGUCACUAAGUGUCGGGGGUCAAACCCCGGUGCUGCAGUCAACGCAAUAAGUGACCCGCCUGAGUAGUACGUUCGCAAGAAUGAAACUCAAAGGAAUUGACGG
rnacentral:rRNA from 1 species